rnacentral:lncRNA from 1 species
AUGGCACCUGGUUUGUUUGGUUUUCUACCUGCUCUCCAUUCUUUGGCUCUGCCUAUAAACACAUCACAUCCCUGUUCAGAUGCACCAUUUUCGAACCCCUUCCCCUCCUCCUGCAUUUUAGACCCUUUUGCUUCAUGGUCCCUUCCCAGACACAAUCAUGGCAAGCAGCUCUACUCAGAAGCAAAAGCAAAGAAUGCCACUGCCACGUUUGCUACAAUAAAAACCUCAGCUGGGGGAGGGCUUUUAAAACUGCAGCGUGCUCUUACUGCACAGCCGCGAGGAAGCGGUGCCAGCCCAUGGCUUGCUCCCAGGCACUGGGGUGCAGCCCAUCAAGGGCCACGGGGAACACGAGCAGGCGAUGCACGCAUGGAAAGGGCUGGAGCCCCAUCCAAGUCCUUCCUCCUCCCCAGUGCAUGGCCAAGGCAAGUCCCAGAAGGAGGGCAUUUCUGGGCCUCAGUGGCAGACCAGACCCUCCUGCCCCAACGCUGCUGCGUGCAGUGCUGGCAGAGUGCACUCUGGGCUGCAGAGCUCCGUGUCCAGCCAGCCACCACAACACACCACGGUUUAUCCAGCCCUCCACAGGCAGGGCUGCAAUUUAGGUGUCAGGCAUGUUAUUUAUUUUGCAUUUCCCUUUUUGUUCAGUACCUCAGCGGAUACAGUGUUUGCCAUUUCCUAGUAACAGAUGCAUUCCUCCCUGGGCUGUUUUAUAUUCCUGCAGCAAUUACAUUUCUCUCUUUGGAGAUUUCAUUUCUCCCUGAGUUCCCACCCCAAACAAAGUCCUUUAUCAAGCAUAACCUUUUCCAAAGAUACACCAUUUGCCAAGUGCAUCCUCCAUCUGAUCUGUUCCUAUACCUGCUCCUAUACCUUGAGAUACUCCCCAUUUGCCUCCCGAAGAGCCCGUCCCUUCAGAAAGUACCUCCUUCUGCAAGGAACAUUUUGUUUACAAGGUCUGUUUUGUUAGCAGGUGUAUUCCCACUAGUAAGUUUUCCACUGCACCAUUUUUUUUAA